rfam:Astyanax mexicanus chromosome 15, whole genome shotgun sequence.
CUAUAUGUACCCUGUAGAACCGAAUUUGUGUCCAGAACUAAAAAUCACAAACACGUUUCUACAGGAAUACAUGGG